rnacentral:rRNA from 1 species
GACGAACGCUGGCGGCGUGCCUAACACAUGCAAGUCGAACGGAACUGUUUUGAAAGAUUUCUUCGGAAUGAAUUUGAUUUAGUUUAGUGGCGGACGGGUGAGUAACGCGUGAGUAACCUGCCUUCAAGAGGGGAAUAACAUUCUGAAAAGAAUGCUAAUACCGCAUGACAUAUCGGAACCACAUGGUUUUGAUAUCAAAGAUUUUAUCGCUUGAAGAUGGACUCGCGUCCGAUUAGUUAGUUGGUGAGGUAACGGCUCACCAAGACCGCGAUCGGUAGCCGGACUGAGAGGUUGUACGGCCACAUUGGGACUGAGACACGGCCCAGACUCCUACGGGAGACAGCAGUGGGGGAUAUUGCGCAAUGGGGGCAACCCUGACGCAGCAACGCCGCGUGAAGGAUGAAGGUUUUCGGAUUGUAAACUUCUUUUAUUAAGGACGAAAAAUGACGGUACUUAAUGAAUAAGCUCCGGCUAACUACGUG